CUGAAAUCAACCGAGACUACCCGCUGA
rnacentral:rRNA from 1 species